rnacentral:rRNA from 1 species
GCUAAAAACUUAGCUUUACUUCUCCCAAUGCUCACUCUAACCUUAAAUAAUAAAAUAAAACAUUUUACACAUCAAGUAAAGGCGAUUAAAAAAUGUCUUAAAGCUAUAAAACAAGUACCGCAAGGGAACAGUGAAAUAAUAAUGAAAAUUUAAAGCACAUAAAAGCAGAGCUUUAACCUCGUACCUUUUGCAUCAUGGUCUAACUAGUCCACUCGAGCAUAAUGAAUUUUAAGUUUGACCCCCCGAAACUAGGUGAGCUACUUAAAAACAGCCUUCUGGGCCAACCCGUCUCUGUUGCAAAAGAGUGGGAAGAUUUUUUAGUAGAGGUGAUAAACCUACCGAACCUAGAGAUAGCUGGUUAUUCAGGAAAAGGAUUUAAGUCCUACCUUAGGUUUUUGUACAACACAAGUACCCCCAAACCUUAAGAGCUAUUCAAAUAAGGUACAGCCUAUUUGAAAUAGGAUACAACCUCACCAAUUGGGUAAUAUAUUUUGACAUCAAUUAAGUGGGCCUAAAAGCAGCCACCUUAAAAAAGCGUUAAAGCUUCAUUGGUCUUUAUAAAAAUUCCUUUAAUUCUUUACAACCCCUAAUUUGUACUGAAUGGUCUCAUGACUUCAUGAGAGCCUAUAUGUUAGAACUAGUAACAAGAAGAAGCCCUUCUCCAAAAUGUAAGCAUAAGCCGAAACGAACAAUUCAUCGGCAUUUAAAGUUAAUAAUCCCCUAGUAGUAACUUUUCAAGAAAAACCUACUAUAUUUAACGUCAACCUUACACCAGCUCAUUUAUGGAAAGAUUAAAAGACUAGGAAGGAACUCGGCAAAUAAUUAACCCCGCCUGUUUACCAAAAACAUCGCCUCCUGAUUCCCAUAGGAGGUCCAGCCUGCCCAGUGACAAAGUUAAACGGCCGCGGUACCCUAACCGUGCAAAGGUAGCGCAUUCACUUGUUCUUUAAAUGAGGACUAGUAUGAACGGCAUCACGAGGGUUAUGCUGUCUCCCUACUUUAUUCAGUGAAACUGAUCUCCCCGUGAAGAAGCGGGGAUAAAAAUAUAAGACGAGAAGACCCCAUGGAGCUUUAAACUCAGUAUCAACUGCCAUAAUUAAAACCUAAUAUCCAAGCAGCAUAUGACUACUAGUUUUCGGUUGGGGUGACCACGGAGUAAAACCUAACCUCCAUGAUGAAAGGAAAUAAUAACCUAAAUUAAGAGCUACAACUCUUAAUAUCAUAAAAUUGACUAAAUUGAUCCAAUUAAUUGAUCAACGAACCAAGUUACCCUGGGGAUAACAGCGCAAUCCAUUUCAAGAGCUCUUAUCGACAAAUGGGUUUACGACCUCGAUGUUGGAUCAGGGUAUCCCAGUGGCGCAACCGCUACUAACGGUUCGUUUGUUCAACGAUUA